AAUAAGGAAAUAAAAGGGUAUAAUGGUGGUUCAAAAUUUGUAUGGCGAAACAAUAUUAAAUAGACAUUUUGAUUCGAAACUUCGUAGGAGUACUCCCAAAA